rnacentral:rRNA from 1 species
UACGUAGGCAGCGAGCGUUGUUCGGAGUUACUGGGCGUAAAGGGUGUGUAGGCGGUUGUUUAAGUUUGGUGUGAAAUCUCCCGGCUCAACCGGGAGGGUGCGCCGAAUACUGAAUGACUUGGAGUGCGGGAGAGGAAAGCGGAAUUCCUGGUGUAGCGGUGAAAUGCGUAGAUAUCAGGAGGAACACCUGCGGUGUAGACGGCUUUCUGGACCAUGACUGACGCUGAGACACGAAAGCGUGGGGAGCAAACAGG